UUUUAUCAUUUAUAAUAUUUUUUUAUUAUAAUUAUAAUUUUCAUUAUUUUACAAAGCAUUGAGGUGCCAGGUUCCGCCUCAGAGGGUGGUUGCCUCAGCGGGAGUUCAUCUGUAAAUAAAUGAUAAAAAUCAAACCAUUGUAGUGACCUUUUAUUUUGGGGGAUUUCAAUUAGGCAAUGUUUGGUCUAUACUGAAAAAGCAAAUGUUUAAAUUUUGAAUGCAAACUAAGCACUUAAGUAACACUUUUUAAGCACAUGGACAUGUUGAAGGAGAGAACACUUAUUCAGAGGUGUCACUAGGGGGGUGUGGACCGCACCGGGUGACACCAUCAUAGGGGGGUGACACCAAAAUGACUGGCAAUAAAUUUUUUGUGCAGUGUUUUGUGCAGCGACUGGUUUACUCCGAUGCAGUUUACUGCCGGUUGAUUUAAUUAGCGGUAUUAAUGUGACAAGAAGCGCUUUGUCAUUUGAAUGCAUAACACGCAAUUCCUUGCAUCCACUCCCACCAGCAUUUUUUUUUUGCCUCAGAUUUGACAUAAAACAAUUUUGUUUACUUCAUCAGUUGUGCGCCGUUCUCCAGAUACAGCGUACACUGAACGAGCAAUCGAUAGAAGCCAUAUACCAGUCAUCGCUCAACCUGAAAACCAUACUAACUACUUUAAUCGAAAGGGGUGGCAUUCUGUUAUCUUGCAAGCAGUUGUGGACCACAGAUUUUGUUUCACAAACAUCAACAUAGGAUGGCCCGGAAGUGUCUACAACUCUAGGGUUCUUCAGAAACAGCACAGAGGAGAUCACAGGCACACAAGUGUCCAUCAUGCUGCUGGGGGAUCCAGCUUACCCACUUCGGUCAUGGCUGAUGAAGGGUUACCCUGACACUGGGAAUCUGACCGAAGACCAGCAUUACUUCAACCAGAGAUUAAGCGGGGCUAGAAUGUCAGUGGAGCGUGCAUUUGGUCGAUUAAAGGGUCGAUGGAGUUGCCUGGCAAAACGUCUCGAUGUAGACAUAUCAUUGGUCCCUACAAUCAUCUCUGCAUGCUGCACUCUGCAUAAUAUAUGUGAAAAACACAAGGAGCCAUACAGUGAGGAUCCCAAUGCAGCUGGACCUCCUGACAUACCAGCAGAGGCCGUUGACCCGUUGGGUGUUGUAGACACCCAACCAUUAAGAAUCAGGGAGGCACUGACCCAACAUUUUGCUGAACAGCACUGAACUAUGGUGGCACAAGUAAUCGUAUAUAGGCUACUGUAGGUUAAAAAUGUAAUGACGUUAGCAAACGUAAAUGCCAAUUCAUAGUUUUAUAUUUGAAGCAUUUAAUUUAGACACAGUAUAUAGGACUUUUGCUGAGUACAGCAACGUUACUCACUUUUUUUUGCAUUGUGGUGUACAGUGAACUGAAAGUGCCUUAAUUGUAUAAUAAUAAA